rnacentral:tRNA from 1 species
GCCCGUGGUGUAAUGGUCAGCACACUGAGCCGGUAUUUCAGAGGUCCGCGGUUCGAUUCCCGGCGAAGGCG